AGAUACUCAGGAGGCUGAGGCAGGGGAAUCGCUUGAACCUGGGAGGCGGAGAUUGCAGUGAGCCGAGACUGCGCCACGGCACUCCAGCCUGGUGACAGAGCAAGACUCCGUCUCAAAAAGAAAAAAAAGAAGAAGAAGAAGAACAGAAAAUAUAGAUUACCAGAAGGACCAGGGGAUCACACACCUGAAAAAAGAUUUCUUGCUCAUUUGUUCCUUAGAUCUCCGCCAAGACUGCUGGCUCCAGGCUGCCAGCCACGUGCCUUGGGUACCCUACAAAUUCUGAGACCGGAUCCAAGAACCACACAACACAGAAUGAUACAGGAAUAUGAACCCAAAGGAUGCAGAGUCCCUAACUCAAACCCAGCCCUCAGGGGCCAGCUGUGCUCCAGGGUGCAGGGACAGAGAGACGCAAAGGCAACCCAGGCCGCUGUGGCUCCUGGGGCACACGGCCAGCAGUGGAAGUGGUGUCAGAAAGACAGAUGGAAACCUCCUCGCUGAAUGGGGCUGGGAACCACAGCGGUGGGACCAAGAGAGAGAACAGCUCAGACCUGAGAGUUACGCCUGUGUGUGAUCCAAGCUGUGACGUGUGUUUUAUUCACAGACAUAAAAGCUCAAAAUGAGCAGGUAUGAGGUUAACGUGGAUAAGAUGAGAACAGCUGCACAAGCCCCAAGGAGCACCCAGCAAGUGUCGGCGAACGAUGGCACCCACGCACCCGCCCAGCAGGCAACAGCCGUGUACCUCCAGGUCGGAGUUGAUGGAGGAGACCUCAGAGGAGCUGCCGGAAGACACCCGGGCCCGGAUGACCUGAACGGGAGGGUACGACGGGGGGUCCUGCAGGGACGCAUCUCCGGCGCUCGUCUGCCCGUCACCUGGCAGCCUGGUGGCACUGCAGCCUGCCUGCAAGGUGUGUGAGAAAGGGCAGGCAAGGACACGUAGUUUAGUUUUGAUGGUUGAAUUGUCAAAGCAUUCACAUACUUCAGUGUUCAAAAUGUACAAAAGGGUGUGCAGGGCAGCAUCUACCUGUGCUCUCCUGCCCUGGCCAUCCAGCUCUCCCCAGGGCAGCCAGUGCCCUGUGUCUUGUGUAUCCCUCCAGAUACUCUAUACACAUACAACCAAAUCCACGUACACAUAUUUCCCCCGAUUUCCAAAAUGAUAGCACACACUCCAUUCUCUUAAGCACCUUGCUUUUUUUCACCUAACACUAUGCCUUAGAGAUAGUUCUGUAUCAGAAGAUUUGGGAGGUUUUUGGUAGCAUUUCAGGUGUUCCCAGUCUAUUAACCCAUCCCCUACUAAUGGGUGCUUAAUGUGUUUCCAGUCUCUUGCUUUUGCAAUCAAUACUGACUGCAGUAAAUUACACUGUACAUCCAAGAUUUCAGAGUAAAGGAUAAAUUCCCAGAGGCGGAAUUGCUGGAUUAAAGAGAGUAUGUACAUUUGAAAUCUGUAUAGCUACUGCUAAAAACGCACCCCAUAGAGGCCUUCCUCAUGCCCACCAGCAGGGGAUGAAAGUGAGUUGGGAUGAAAUAGGAAGGUUUAAGGUAGAAAGAAACUUGUGAGAUUUUCUAUGUAUCUAUGUAUCUAUCUAUGUAUCUAUCUAUGUAUGUAUCUAUCUAUGUAUCUAUUUAUGUAUCUGUCUAUCUACCAAUCUAUCUAUCUGUCUCAGACCAAAGCUUCCCCCCAUGGGCUCAUGGGGACUCCUCAGAGAUCUACAAAGCUCCACCAGCUGAACUUUUGAAGUCCUGCAGGAUUCACAUCAUUCCACUGACACGUGACAGAGCAGACAACCUGCUUUCCAGACCAGCAUCUUCCACUAAUUAACCAUGUGAUCUAAUGUAUUAGUUUGUUUUCAUGCUGCUGACAAAGACAUACCCAAGACUGGGAAGAAGAAGAGGUUUAAUGGACUUACAGUUCCACAUGGCUGGGGAGGCCUCACAAUCACGGCAGAAGGCAAAGGAGGAGCAAGUCACGUCUUACAUGGAUGGCAGCAGGCAAAGAGAGAGCUUGUGUAGGGGAGCUCCUCUUUAUAAAACCAUCAGAUCUCGUGAGACUAAUUCACUGUCACGAGAACAGCACGGGAAAGACUUGACCCCAUAAUUCAAUUACCUCCCACUGGGUCCCUCCCACAACACGUGGGAAUUCAAGAUGAGAUUUGCGUGGGGACACAUCCAAACCACAUCACCUAAGAAAGAAAGUUGUCCUCUCUGAGUCUCAGUUUCCUCAUCUAUAAAAGGGGAUGAUAAUCCCUGCUUUGCCUCCAGUGAGGGGGUGUCAUGGGGCUCAGAUGUAAAUGCCUGGGACACAUGAGGAGAAUGGCUAUGAGUACUCGACCCAAAUCCAGCGGGGCUUCAGCCCUUGAUGGGUUAGGUGCACAAGCUCCUGUCAGAGUCAGGUGGACUGGCAGAGAAAAUCCACAAGAGAAACAAAGGCAGCAUUCUGGAAGCAGGAACACAGGUGAGGGGCCACCCUGCUUCCCAGCUGGGAAGGAUGCUGAAACAGAAGGCUCUGGAUGGGAGUGGGGAAGCAGAUGCCUCCCAGGAACAACAAUGACAAAUUCUAUAAAUGCCCAAGGCCUGACCACACCUGCGUCAAAAGAUAAAACAGAAUUUUCAAACACUCCAAGCCGAGGAUGCAGGAUUUGAUCCAUAUGGCCCCAUGGGACCCCUCUGCCCCUCUGGAGGCUCAGCCUGAACCACAGUGCUGCUCCCGCUGCGUCUCCUGGAAAAUCGCUCCUUAGGACCAGUGCUCAGGGGGCUUGCUGGGAAAACAAGGGAGCACCUCUGCAGCUCUCCUUACCCAUUUCCAGAUGGCCCUUCUAAUGGGAUAUGUAUCAGUGGACACGGCCAACAGGGUGCCUGUUUCCCCACAGUCUUGCCCAUUGGGAUAUUCACAUUACAACAGUGUUUAAAACUGCUAACCGAGCAGGUACAAAGCGGCAGCACAGAGAGCAUAUUCUCUUCAUAAAAGCCCAGGUCCCUGAAUCGGGCAGGCUUAGUUUGAAUCCUCUUUCUGUGAUUUUUCUAACUGUAGGAUCUUGGGCAAGUUACUUAACCUCUCUGUGCCUCAAUUUAAAAUAACAUUAUUAAUUGUUAAUAAAAUAAUAAUAAUAGAUACAGGCCAGGCACGGUGGCUCACACCUGUAAUCCCAGCACUUUGGGAGGCCGAGGCAGGCGGAUCACUUGAGGUCAGGAGUUUGAGAACAGCCUGGACAACAUGGCGAAACCCCUUCUCUACUAAAAAUACACACACACAAAAUAGCCAAGCAUGGUGGCAUAUGCCCAUAGUCUCAGUUAUUUGGGAGGCUGAGGCAUGAGAAUCGAGAAUCUCUUGAACACAGGAGGUGUGGGUCACAGUGAGCCGUGAUUGUGCCACUGCACUCCAGCCUGGGCGACAGAGCGAGACUCUGCCUCAAAAAAAAAAAGGAAAGAAUAAAAGAAAAAAUAAAAAUAAAACAAAA